rnacentral:RNase_P_RNA from 1 species
GAGGAAAGUCCGGGCUCUAUUUAUAAUAGUAUAGCUGUAUAAAAUGCAGUGUAAGAAACUAUAAGGAUUGUGCCACAGAAAUAUACCGCCUUAAUCUUAAGGUAAGGGUGCAAUGGUUCAGUAAAAGUGAACCAGAAAUAUUGUUAAGAUUUUUGCUAGGUAAACCCCGUACUAGAGCAAAGUGAUUAGUUUACUAUAAUAAGUGUAUUUCUUAUAAAUUUUAUGCUUUAUUUUAUCUUAAUACUUUUUAUAUACUGCAUAAAGUAAUUCGUUACUUAAGAUUAAUGAUUACCCUUUUUAUCUAUUUAAAGUAUAUACUUUAUCGGUAAAAAGAACUAAACCCGGCUUAU